CGGGAUCUUCAGUAUUACUUCGGUUCUGUGGCUUUUACAUUGUUUAAAACAUCGACUAUUUAACAUCGGACAGUUCAAUUUUUAUUUUGAUGGAGUUGCGGGAUGUAAAUGAAGAACAAAAAAGGAGUAAUGAUAAGGAAUUUUAACUUCGUGUGACGGACAUAUUGCAAUCUGCGGUAGACAGAGAGGAUCUCGAACCACACUUCUUGCCUCUAGAAAAUAUGCAAACUAGGUUUUUGAGUCUACGGUUGAUCGCGGGAUAUGGGCCUACCGAUCAUAAGGUGUUUUGGAGCUGGAAUUUUGGUAAUAAAAAGGAUCCAGCCACACGAUCUUCAGAUGCGUCAAGCAUUGGAACAAUGUUUACGGAGCAGAACAGGCACCAACAGAGAAACAAGUCCAUCACUAAUGCACCAAGGAUCCAGCUGAUUACUGGCAUUUUCCAGGAUUGCUCUUUAUUUGCUGUAUCUGUCACAUCUGGUACACUUUUGUAUGUUUUGAAUUAACUUAUUAAUACACUUGCAUAGUUAGGAUUCUGAAUUAAAAGACAGUAUAAUAUUUUAUAUAAGAACUAUGCGGGGCCCCCAGGGGUCAGGAGAAUAUUGUGGAAAACAAUAUAUAAAACUUAGUUGGAAAAUACAAGCCAAAAACAGCACAAUUAGUUAUUCUCCACCCGUUUCAAAUGUGAAAUCAUCAUGAUAUUAACCUGACAGUUUUCUACCACAUAAAGUUUGAGAAUUUUAUGAAACUCUACUGAUAACUAGUUGUAUUUAAUUUAUAUGUGUAUUAUAAUAUA